UUUCAGUGUAAGCACCUGCAAAUCACCUCCUACUCACUUGAAAGAAGAGAGGAAAUCGUUUCCAGUCAGAAUCACUGCAUUUACACCUUUUCAGUUCAGAAAGAUGAUUUCCAGCUCUCUACAUGCCAACGAUGGCAGCUGGAGCAAGAACUCAGCUUGGAAUCAUGCUGCUGUCACAAACAAGAAUACAGUGGUGUGCUUUGCCAAAGCAUCCAUCUACAACACUCCUUUUUUCUUUCAUAGAUCUACUUUUCAUUCAUGGGAAACCCUGCUCCUCCACGUCAUACAUCGCUUUGGCUCCUUGGGCAUGCAAACUUUCAAGUGGGCUCUGCUAAGGAAUAAGGAGGAGGCAUCACAGCAUGUAACCUCAACCCACCAUUGGGAUUGCAGAAAGGAGCCGAGCUGGGAAUGGAACCUUUCUUUCCAUCUCUGAUGUUUAAAUGUUCCUUGUCAUCUUCUAAAACAGCUUAUCUGAGCCAAAAUGCAGAGAACAGUUUGUGAAAUUUUGUCCUUUUGAAACAGAGCCCUGAGCUUUCCUCCUACUCAUAUCCAAACCUAAUCUUAUCCCAAGCAACAGCCUCAGCUACUUCGCAGCCCAGACUCCUUCUCAAGUCUUUCCCUGACAUUAAGGGAUUUCUUGUUGUUGUACCACUGUGCAUCUGAAACAGCUGUGGUGUGUUACAGUCCUGUGAGGUGACCUGGUAAAUGAAAACAUAGUGAAUGGCAUGCUAAUAUUAUUAAUCUAUUUCUUGUUCCUUCACUGAGGAAAUUUGCAUAAUUAACCCCCAGAGGUUCUUAUUUAUCAGCAUAACAUUUGUUUCGCUUGCCAUUGCAUUCCAAAUAUUGCUUUGCCCU